AACACUGUUAACCUGCGGUACCUGCGGAGGGAUCAUUACCGAGCGAGGACCCUCCGGGUCCAACCUCCCACCCGUGUUUAACGAACCUUGUUGCUUCGGCGGGCCCGCCUCACGGCCGCCGGGGGGCACUCCGCCCCCGGGCCCGCGCCCGCCGAAGACACCUGUGAACGCUGUCUGAAGUUGCAGUCUGAGACACUAGCUCAAUCAGUUAAAACUUUUAGCAAUGGAUCUCAGAUCGGA
rnacentral:misc_RNA from 1 species